GGGGUUGUGGCUCAGUGGCCGAGCGCUUGCCUUGUAUGUAUGAGGCCAUGGGUUCAAUCCUCAGCACCA
rnacentral:tRNA from 1 species